CAAACUGAAGAUGGCGACCGGCGCACGGGUGAGUAACACGUAUCCAACCUGCCGAUAACUCUGGAAUAGCCUUUCGAAAGAAAGAUUAAUACCGGAUAGUAUACGAAUAUCGCAUGAUAUUUUUAUUAAAGAAUUUCGGUUAUCGAUGGGGGAUGCGUUCCAUUAGUUUUGUUGGCGGGGUAACGGCCCACCAAGACUACGAUGGAUAGGGGUUCUGAGAGGAAGGUCCCCCACAUUGGAACUGAGACACGGUCCAAACUCCUACGGAGGCAGCAUG
rnacentral:rRNA from 1 species